UAUGCUGCCAUGUCACCAUCAACAGUACAUAAGAAUUUUAGUCCAACAGGAUCGUGACACCUCAUCAGUCAAUGCCACAUCAUUGGUCAAUGCCACGUCAUCGAUCCGUCUAUGUGAACAGUGCCGUGAACAGUAACAUAUACAGUACCGUAUACGUGAAUAGUACCGUACAUGUGAAUAGUGCCAUUUUUCCUUUUAUGCCCCUCCUAAGGUUUUCGACCGUCCUGAGUUCAAAAGUGAUGUCCGUUUUGCCAUCUGAUCUCUCCUUUAUUGUGAAAUGACUAUAAUGCCCCUAAAAUACAUAAAAUACUUAAUUAAAAUAACACACACGUAAUUCAAUCAUAAAAAGGUUAAAUACAUAAAAGUAAGGGUUGUUAGUAAGACUUGAAAUGUAAAAUGACGGUUUUCUCCUUUAUAAAUAUGCAUUUUCUAACACUCAACAUUAACCAUCAUAAUAAGAGUACAAGAAGUAUAGUAAGAGAUCACUUUACCGAUUUAGUUCUCAAUUUAUAGAAACAUCAUUACAAUACAUAAUUGAUGCAGCCUUUACUUGCACACUGAAGAACAAGAUGAAUUAAGUUUACAUAUCUAUACAGGGACAUCUCUAUAAUAAUGUGCACAAUAACUUAGAGCUAUAUGAGAUAUGCCUUCUCAACUCCUUUUAAUUUCUCUCUAUCACUAGAUUUAACUCUUCCAACCGGUACAACAAUGGAUCCUUUGCAAAGAUCAAAAUUUUGAGGCUUGAGAUUUUCCAGAGUUGAACUAUGAAAGCUUCAAAUCUUGAAUCAAUCCACCAAAUAACAACUGAAAUAAAUAAAAGCCACCACAAAUCGACUAGAUAAACAACCAUAAAGUGAGAUUUGGGUGGAGAGAAACAGUCCUAGAUUUUAGAUCUAGAUGGAUUUAAAACCUCUCAUUAAGAGGGAAGAAAAAAAACUAUAAAAAUAAAAGUGAAAAAAAAAAUCGCCCAGCAUAGAGAACGAAGCAAAUGUUCACAAGCAUGAUUAAACAACAGAAAAAGAAAGUACCUUUUAUGUGGAGACGAAAACUUUUAAAAUCCAAGAUGGAAGGUGGACAAAUGCAUCAAUAUUUUACUUGUUAGUGUUGUGGUCCCAAGUUUUACAAUUUUCUCCUUAAAAUGCGUGGUCCAGAGCUUUAAGAUUUCUUCUUUCUCCUCGCUUCAACCAUUUGUGAAUAGUUAGGGUUUACUAUUUUGGGGCUGUAUAAAUAAUGGGUGAGAUUAGGGGUUUACAACUUGGAAAUUGAAGAUAAGAAGAUGUUUUAUGUGGGGGAAAGGGAAUUUUACGGACAAAUAUCGUGAAAUUUCAGAAUAAUUGAGGGAGACAGAGAGAGUUGGUAUUUCGUUGGAGACGGGAAAAUAAAAGGGAAGGUUGAGUUUUUAUACUUGAAAAUAAAUGACAACUUUAAAAAAUAAGGUCAACUUUCAUUUAAUUAAAGAUGG
rnacentral:lncRNA from 1 species